CAGCCGCCGCGGGAACACGGAGGAUCCAAGCGUUAUCCGGAAUCAUUGGGUUUAAAGGGUCCGUAGGCGGUCUUGUAAGUCAGUGGUGAAAGCCCAUCGCUCAACGGUGGAACGGCCAUUGAUACUGCAGGACUUGAAUUAUUGGGAAGUAACUAGAAUAUGUAGUGUAGCGGUGAAAUGCUUAGAGAUUACAUGGAAUACCAAUUGCGAAGGCAGGUUACUACCAAUUGAUUGACGCUGAUGGACGAAAGCGUGGGUAGCGAACAGGAUUAGAUACCCCAGUAGUCCCUGUCUCUUAUAA
rnacentral:rRNA from 1 species